GCUGGGUGUGGUGGCGUGCACCUGUAAUCCCAGCUACUAGGGAGGCUGAGGCAGGAGAAUUGCUUGAACCUGGGAGGCAGAGGUGGCAGUGAGCUGAGAUCACACUAAGGCACUCCAGCCCGGGUGAAAGAGUAAGACUCUGUCUCAA
rnacentral:SRP_RNA from 1 species